UCCCCAAGGCUCAGGAGGAGCUGCUGUCUUCCCACAGAUGUGAUGAAAACUGCCUGAGCUGCGAGGGCUCCAGCAGGAACUGCAGCAGAUGUAAAGCUGGCUUCACGCAGCUGGGGACCUCCUGCAUCACCAACCACACGUGCAGUAACGGUGAGUACUACAGGGUGACCUCAGGGCUGUCCAGGAGGCAGUGGAAAGAGGAGAGGCCGGAGGCGUGGCUGCCCAGAGAGUAGGGGCACUUACUUCUGACAUGACUGACCAUCUCUUUGGCCACAUGACUUAAAAGUAGCUUCAUUUGUAUACUGUUCCCACUCUCCUGACAUGAGCUGCAGGCAGCUUGAGUAUAAUUUCCCCAUAAAAAAGUCAGCACAGAGAGACCUGAAAGACCAAAUCCUCGGAACUAGGAGGACAGAGUUGAGCCCCAGCUGUCUACAAGGUGCUUCUUUAUCUAUGCUAGGAGGGCCCUGGCUCUGCAGAUAGGUGGUGGGUGGUGGGGAGGAUAAGUUAUUAAAAU
rnacentral:lncRNA from 1 species